UUAAACACUUGGUUUAGUCAUUGAAUUGUUGGAAUCGGCAAAUGGACCAAUAGAAAUGGAAAUAUUCUAAGUAUGACCUACGAAAAAGUUGGACAACUAUUAGAUGUGUCACAUAUUCUUCUUCUAAAUAAACCUGUGAUACAAAGUUUCAAGAAACACUAAGCGGAUUAUACAAGAGGAGAGUAGGAAAAAGGAUCAACAUGUCCAAGGGAAGCGAAGUAGCAGCUUUAAGGCAAAGCCCGUAGAUAUUUGAUCGAAAGUAGUGCGCUGAUAGAGUAGUUACAAGAAAAUAAUAUCGUGAAUUGCGAUCGGUAAACUUGCUGUAACAAAUUAUACAUUUGAGAAGAACUCAACGCUACGGUUUUGCCCAGUACUGCAUUUGUUAAGCUUAAUGAUGGCAAUAAACAGCACUUGUGUCUUGUGUGUAUUUUUCAAUUAAUUGUUUGUCACAAUUAAGGGCUACAGUAUCAACAACGGCACUUGACCCUUAGAAAGUGCCAUCAUUCUACACUUUGCACUGCUCCUCACGCCCGCCAUGUGUCUGACAACUACUGUGCCAAUUCGGGUUUUGAAAACAUUCGAUAUGCCUUUAGAGGUAGACACUUUGCAAAGGCUUUUGCCAGCAAGAGGGUGUUGACUAAUGCGUUUGUGGUGACAAAGUCCUUUACUCAUCAUUAUCACCCAAGCAGAAACUGUGGCAAAAAUAUGUAUCCCAGAGUCGUAUGGGCAAUAGCCAAAGGAAGUUUCAUCCCAAAAUACAUUUAAAAGCCAUUGUCCAAUGUUGGCAUCAAUCUUGUUCCAUAUUUUUUGUGUGGGCACACGUGCCUUGGCAUUUCAUGAGUUUCGUAAACAAUCGCAAGGAGUGUGGCUUCCCCAAAAUCAGACAAUGGCAUUGAGAACAAGUGAUUUUAAAACUUUGAAACGCCUCUGGAUUCCCAGGGAUUUGGAAAUAAAGUUUGUCAUGACACGUGGCCUUCAGUGGUUUAACACGCACGCAUUCACACACAGUACACCCAUUGAUACAGCACAGCUCUUAAUAUGUCUCUGUGUGGAGACAGACAUAUUCCACAAAGGAUUCAUUUUUGCUACUGUCGUCUGAAUUUUAAUGUUUUUCAAUUUAUCAAUUUUAGCGCAACAUAUGUAAAAUGGCAAUAAAUGGAUAUUCUGACUUCCAAAUGUUUAACUUUUCACACUUUACUGCAAUGGAUGGAUGCCAAGGAGAGAUAAGCAAUAAGCAUAGAAAGAGUUGGUAGCUUGCUGGGAUUACCAGUGCGGGAGUCGUGGUUUCGAUUCUCACCAAAAGCCUGGUCUGAUUAGAAAAAAAUAGAACUGCCCCUCUAAUCUCACCUAACCUUACAUCUAAUGGCGUUUAUUUGCCUGUGCUGGUGUUCUGUAAGAUUUCGCUAUCCAGUGUAUUUUUUUCUAGAAGUAUCUCUUACAUAUAAAAUUGAAUUUCUGUUUGUUUGUUUGUCGGUUUGUUUGUUCCGUAAAGACUCAAAAACGGUUGAAACGAUUAUCUUGAAAUUUUCACAGAUUGUAUAGGUUGGUCUGGAAGGAAACAUAGGCUAUAUAAUUUUUUGAUAUCGGAACGGGGUCGGACCCUCCCCCUUACCCCAGAAGUACUACCCAAAAAUAAAAGUGGACCGAUCGGGACAGUAUGGGAUUCAAAUGAAAGUUAUUCAAAGGCAGAAUACAAAGUUGGCUCUGAGUAACUGGGGGGCCGCCCAAGCCCCAAAA